GGCCCCGUCUGAGAAGAAGACCAAGAGGGCGCAGAGCACCCAGCAGCAGUCCAGGAGAGAAUAGCGCUUUCCGGCAUGGCGAUUUUGAAGUGGGCGCUGUUCGAGGUUCGCCAGACUACGAGGAAGUUCUAUGAUUAGCUCCCGACAGGAACGUGUCCAUCUGCCAAGGUCAGCCCCAGACGAUUGCUCUUAUCAGCUCCGCAGCAGCUGUCCGGGCUCGCUGCCUCGUGUAAACAGACGGAGGUUUGGCCCACCGCUUCUGUCUCAGCCGAUAAGCCACAACAAAAGGACCUUCGAAGGAACCAGAGUGAACAGUCACAGCUCCCCGCGGGCAGACUUAUAAAUCCAGUCUAGUGGCUCGACUGGAUCAGUCCCCUUCACUGCUCAUUGAUGCCUCUUACUGUUUGUAAAAGCAAAGAGCCAAACAGAUAAUAAGACCUGAGGCAAUUUGUCAGAGUUCAGAGGGAUCGUCAGAUUGCGGUGCAGUAUGUAACAAACAACAAACAACAAACAUGGCGUAAUAACAUAAAAGUAACAUAUGUUCAGUGAGUAAACAUCAACCUCAUUUUUACCAUAAUAUUUCAGAAUGUAAUAUUUCAGUAAUACAGGACAGUAUGAAGAAACACUUAGUGUAUGGACACACACAGCAACAAGCCCCCACCCCAUGAAUAUCGUUUAUGAGAGAAUGAGGUAUCAUUACCCACAGACAAUUUCUAUAGGUAUGCUUUCUUCUCAGUUUAUAGUCCAUUCAGAUAAGACUGUCUAGACAUGUAAAAUGUAGAUAACUGGCAUUGUGGAAAUGAAAAGAAAAGCCAUUGUGAAAUAAACAGAAUGCUUUUACCAGG